AUUGAACGCUGGCGGCAGGCCUAACACAUGCAAGUCGAGCGGAGCGGCGGACGGGUGAGUAAUGCCUAGGACUCUGCCUGGUAGUGGGGGAUAACGUCCGGAAACGGGCGCUAAUACCGCAUACUAUUAGAUUAGCCUAGGUCGGAUUAGCUAGUUGGUGGGGUAAUGGACUAGCAGGGCGACGAUCCGUAACUGGUCUGAGAGGAUGAUCAGUCACACUGUAACUGAGACACGGUCCAGACUCCUACGGGAGGCAUCAGUGGGGAAUAUUGGACAAGGGGCGAAGGCCUGAGCCAGCAAUGACGCGUGGGUGAAGAAGGUCUUCGGGUUGUAAAGUACUUUAAGUUGGGAGGCGUUACCAACAGAAUAAGCACCGGCUAACUUCGUGCCAGCAGCCGCGGUAAUUC
rnacentral:rRNA from 1 species